rnacentral:tRNA from 1 species
GCACCUGUAGCCUAGUCGUACGACGCUGGACUGGAAAUCCAGUGCAUGAAAAUGCUCGGGGGUUCAAAUCCCCUCGGGUGCG